rnacentral:rRNA from 1 species
CCUACGGGGGGCAGCAGUGAGGAAUAUUGGUCAAUGGGCGCGAGCCUGAACCAGCCAAGUAGCGUGAAGGAUGACUGCCCUACGGGUUGUAAACUUCUUUUAUAAAGGAAUAAAGUGAGGCACGUGUGCCUUUUUGUAUGUACUUUAUGAAUAAGGAUCGGCUAACUCCGUGCCAGCAGCCGCGGUAAUACGGAGGAUCCGAGCGUUAUCCGGAUUUAGUGGGUUUAAAGGGAGCGUAGAGGGGUUGUUAAGUCAGUAGUGAAAGUUUGGGGCUCAACCGUAAAAUUGCAAUUGAUACUGGCAGUCUUGAGUACAGUGGAGGUAGGCGGAAUUCGUGGUGUAGCGGUGAAAUGCGUAGAGAUCACGAAGAACACCGAUUGCGAAGGCAGCUUACUAAACUGCCACUGACAUUGAGGCUCGAAAGUGUGGGUAGCAAACAGGAUUAGAUACCCGUGUAGUC